CAAUAGAAUAAGUACUAGGCUUAAAAAAAAAUCCUGGGGUCAGAUUGUUCAACAACAACACUUCAAGGUGGUGCUCCAGCAUGGCUGCAGUCAAAUGACUGAAGCAAGUAAAAGAAUAAAAGGAUAUAAGGAAAGUAAUGUAGAAGGAAUACAAGGAAAAUGUGUAGGUGGUAUAGUGAAGUCAUUCCUGCAAUGGACCAGCAUCCCAUCCGGGAGGGGAAUAUAUACUCCAGAAUAACCAGGAAACGCUCUGCUCUUCACAGAGUAAUGCAGACCGAUCAAUAUGAAUGGCAUAUGUACCGUGUAUAUAUAUAUACACAAAACAUAUAUAGAAAGACUUUAUAGGUAGAAAAAGUGAAGUAGAAAGAAUAAGACAUAUAGUACAGAUAAAGUAAAAGAAAAUUGAAAGACAGUAAAAAAGAGAGAAUAACUGUGUCUGUCUGACGAGCUAAUGGAGAGAGAAAUUAGGAGAGUAUAUGUAUGUAUAUGUUUGAAACAGAUUUGUGUAUGUGUAUGAAACUGAAGAGACAAGGGGAGAGAGAGUGUGUGUGUGUGUGUUUGUGAGAAAGAAUGACUUGUCUGUUCAGAAAAGAGAAGAGGAGAGGGUAAACAAAGAAGGUUCUAGAGAAAUUGAGUUUAUUAAAGAAGAUAGGUAAGUCAUGCUGAUACAAAGAGAGAUUGGAUCAAAAGUAGCAAAUUCUUCAUACAAUGUUCUUUAUCUCUACGACAACCACUGUUUUGUUCAAAAAUCAAAAUUCUUGCUCUCUCUCUCUCUCCCUCCUUCAAAACUUUCCAAUCAAUAUUGGUGAAUUUAGAGAGAGAAGUGGAUGAGAGUACAAGAGUGGGGGUGGGCAUGAGUUUGAGAAGAUUUAAGAACAGGUGAAUGAAAAGAGGGGACAGUGGAGGUUGGAGGCGAGAAAGAAAAUGGGGGAGUAGAUGGGAGGGACAGUGACAGAUAAUAGAGAGAGAGAGAGAGGGUGGAUAUGUGUAUGUUUAAGUGAUGAGAGAGAAUGGGGGAGGUUUAUGGUAAUGAAAUGGAUAUGAAGAGAGGGAGAUGUUUGGAGAAUGGAUGAUGGAAAAGAGGAGUGGAAUGAGGAAAAGAGGUGGAUGUCAAGAGAGACUUUGUGUGGGUGAGAGACUUCGUGUUUGUCAGGUGAGAGGGAAAGUGAGAGGAUACAAUAGAAAGAGGGUAGAGUAAAUGCUUGUGUCUCAGGUGAGAAAGAGAAAGGAAGAGAUGGUAUAGGAAGUGGGCAGAGUGAGUGUGUGUGUGUGUGUGUGUUUGUCAGGGGAGGGAGAGAGAGAUUAGUAUUGGGAGUGGAGCAGAUAUCAUGAGAGAAGUAAUAUGUCUGGUGAAAGGGGGAGAGAGAGAAAGAGAGAUAUGUAAAGGAAAUCAGAGUGAAAGAAAUGUGUAAAGAAAAACGGAGAGAGAGUGAUGUGCAUAGAAAAUCAAAAAAAGGUAAAUCUGGGUUAUAUUUAUUCAAUGGUAAAAGCUACUUACUCACCUGAUUGAUCAGUACAACAGACAGCAGACAAUGGGUGGCUGAGUAACUGGAGGACUAGCAGACGUAAAAGGUUUGAUAUUUUAGAAGAACAUUCUACAAGAGAACAACAAUGUAGGAGAAGAAUAGUUAGAUGAUGUGAUUAUGUGAUAAAGGAACCAGAAUUAUGGAGCAGGGUGGGUGAGGAAUGCAGUUUAAGUGUCUGAAAUAUUAUCAUAAAUUUAAUAUUAACAUUGACAAAUUGUCACACAGAGAGUGAGCCUUUAGAUUCACCUGUACCACAUUCCUGAGAAUAACAAUAUCGGUUUAUUCCUUCCAGAUUUUUCUGUUACUUUGCAGUUAGUUGUUAGGCCAUAUGAAUAAAAGUGGAGUUUUGGUGUUUAUCAUUUUACGUUUUUUUUGUUUUCGUUUCUUGUUUUAUUUUCUUUUACUGCCAAAAUAUGUAGAAGACAUUGUAAAUCAGAAAUUUAUGGCCCAAAAAAGUCCUUUUUUUUUCCAGGUUUUUUUUGGCUUCUUUUUCUUCCUGUUUUUUUUUCAUCUUCUAUUUCUUUUCUUUAACUGUUUCUAUCAGACAAUUUAUUAUUUUUUUUUUCAUUUUUGAGAAAAUAAAACACACUUUUUUUUUUAAUGCACUGCAAUGAAGGGUACCCAAUCUUGGAUUAGGUACCUUGAAGCUAUUAUCACCUUGAUUAAACGGGAUGUCUUAACUAACAAAACAAACACAUAAAUUAUUAAUUUAUAAUCAAUAAAUAGACCCUUUUGUUAAAGUGCCAUUUCUAUAAUUAAUUGAUCAUAAUUAGUUACAAAAACUAUUCAGUUAGUCUAAAUUUACAUAAUAAUUAUUAACAAUUACAUCAUCUAUUCCAUAAGGUAAUAGUUCUAAAUAGAUGGAGUAAAAUUAAUGUUAGUGUUAAUUUUAGAGAUCAGUGAGCAUUGACUUGCAAACAGCAAGCCACAUAUAUGACUGGUAUCAAAUUCCAGUCAAAGAUCUUGCUUUUAUUUCUUCUUUUUCUUUUUAUUUCCACUUCACUAUGUCAUUAAUGCCUUUGGAAAAAAAAAAUGAUUAAGUGGAUACUCUCUUGAACUACCAAUUCUUAUCUACUGUAAGUAUUUCAAUGUCUAUUUUGGGCAAUGGGGUUCAUUCUACAAGCCUCAGCUAGUCUAGCUGUCAGGAAUAGGUACUGGAUUCAUCUGCAAAUGUUACCUGGGGAGGACUGACAUUCUCCUUUCCAAUUCAAGAAAAAUGAAAAAAAAAAAACUGUUGGUAGUCACAUUUCUUUCUUGCAAUAUUUUUUCUCUCUCUCCACCACACACUGCACGUACUGUGAGAGUCUUGCUUACAGAUCAAACUAACUAACUACACUGAUUCACCAAUUUCUAUAAUCAAUCAAUAUUAAUCAACUAACGUUUUAAUCAAUAUUAAUCGAUAUUAGUCAAAGGCAAGGCAGAAAGUUGGCAGAAGUGGUAGAGCACACUCUUGCAUACAUUACAUUAACACUGUUUAGUUCCAACCCUCUCCAUUACAAGUUCAAAUCACGCUAAGGUUCACUUUACCUUUCAAACCAUCCUGCAUCAAUAAGAGAAAUACCAGUAAUAUACUAAGGCUUGAUUCACUUGACUAUAUCCCCUUUAUUUUGACAUUUAGGCCUCAUGCCUAAUCUUUAGAAACCACAGUAAAUUAACUGAUACAAGGUGCGACAGAAAAACCUCCCCUAUAUUAAAUGGAUAUUAGUAUGGCACUAGUGACGUUAUGUAAGAGGGUAACAAUGUUUUCAAAUAAUAUUGUUUUACUCUUUUCUUUUCAGUUACUAUCAUCGUUUAGGUCAGUGCAGAUCAUGUGAUUACUGUUUAAACGUUUUAUCAAGAAUGGUGAAUCUGAGGUUUCUUUGCUGCACCCUGUAUCUCAUACACUACUAGUAUUGUUAUUCUUCAAUUA